CCCACCCACCGACUACUCCCCCCCAUCGAUCGAUCUCCCCAACACCAUCAUCCUGCCCUGAGUGUCCAUGUCGGUCUCCCUCUCGACAGCCACCGCCACCAUGACUCCGGAUCCUGGCCGGCCCAUCGCUGCCAGCACGUCUUACCGCAAGGUCGCCUCGGCACCGCGGAGCCCGACACCGACCCCGGCCCCUCGGGUUAGUGUCCUCUAUGUCAGCCCGCCACCGCGCCAUCUCCGGCCAAGGUCGAUGACCAUGGGAUCCCCACAAGCGUGUGAAGCCCUGCUGAUGUGCGGAGCUGAACCUGAACGAUUGCAUCCGCGAGGCCGAGGAGUAGGUCGUGCGCUGCCACAAGGACAGGGGCACUGGCUCGGUGCCAUGUACGCCUGCAAGGAGGACACCGUGCUCCAGGCCCUCAAGACUGAGAGGGCUCGCCUGGACAGGAGCGCCAGCUCCUAGACCAAGCCUGCUUCUCAGGGCGCCAAUGCGCAUUAUUUCUUCUGCCCAGCAAACGCCAAACGACCCGAGGAUGACGUGCCGCAGCCCGCAGGGAUUCCAGCGAAUGAGAGACCUAACUGAAAUGGUGCUUUUUCUGAAUCUUGUUUGUUGCAUAUGAGUGGACAGAUACCUGUUUGCUCGUAUAUCUUGCUUCAAUUGAUGCACUGGCUCAUGUACAGUAUGGAGCACCCUGACAUCACAGGUGUGCGCUUCACUAAAUUAAUCAUCGUGCAACAUUCCUACUUCAACAUAUACUCAAAUGGCGGUGAUGUUCUCCUCUGGGAUGGAGGGGGCGGGUCUGUGGGCAUCGUAGAGAAGUGGUCGGGUCCACAAGAUAACUGAGAUGCUUGUGGCGGGGUGCUUGAGGUGAGGAGUCCGUAGGGCUGGCCGGGCAGAACAAGCUCAUCGGCACCACCUCCUCGCCUUCUCCAUCAGCAAUGUGGACAAGGUGCAAAAGGAUAUCUCACUUACAUCUUAUUCAGUCUGGCUGCCGAUUUAGCAAUGUUUGGUUUGGCUGAUUUAACAAUUGUCAGAUUGUAAAUCUGUUGCAUAUAGCAGAAAUUGAAUAACAUGGACAGAAAUUUCUUGAAUUUAUAGGGUUAUUAUUAUUAUUUUUCGACAAAAUCCGUCGCUAAAUUAGGAAGAACGUCAUCCAAAAUCUGGCAACAUAAAGGAGUACAUAGUUAAUUGAUUUUGAAAUGAUGUAGUGCAUUAGACGAUUUCUUCCUUAAUUUCUUAACGCAUUUAUAUUUAAGCGGUAAGCCCCAUACGUCAUACGUGUUCGUCCUUUUGGUGAUAUAAGGCGGUGAGCUUUCUCCUUCUCCACUCUUUAACACUGUUGGUUCUGCAUUUUGCAUCAAUGGUUUGGGAUAAGAAAUGAAUGUUUCUAUCUGAAUAUUAUUUGGUUAUUCAUGCUUUGUCUAAAUCGAUUUAGGAGAAGUUAGUAUGUGAUUCAUUUGGAAAAAUGACUUCUUUCUGAACAGAAGUAAUAAAAGGACUUGGUCGGGGAGGGAGUAGAGCCGGUUAAUUCAGUACUUUCUGGACAACAGUAAUAAAAGGGCUUAUUCAGUUUUAAUUUUUUCCAGUAAAUAAUGAAAAUGUCUAUGUAUUUUUUUUCUCCCAAUAUGCUAUGGUCAUCUUGUUGCUAUGCAUAUAAAAUUUCAUGGCCAGCUUAGCAGCUGAGGGUUGGCUCUCCUAUCUACCUGUCUAUCUUGCUUUGACAAGGUGAUGUAAAUAUUCAAAAAACAUGUGACCAUCUCCUGUUGGUCAGUAUUAUCUUUGGCCAUUCUUCUAUUUGUGUUUGCUUUUUUUGCAUGUUCAUUAUGACGGUGAAAUUCUAGAGACGACCAGGUAAUGUUCCGAAUCCAGGUUAUUUCCUAUUAUGUAUGGAUUUGAUAUCUGGUGAACGGUUGCCAUACACGCUUUCAACAAUAUUUAGAAAUGCCAGUGUCGCUUGUCUGCUGCUGGACUUGGUGCACACACAAUCAGCUCCCAAGUCAUGGCAGGUCGUUCCAGACAUGAGGUUCAUCUUGAUGAUUUUAUUUUCGCAAUGCAAACUUGGAACCUGGCGAUACAAACUAAAAGCAUGCUUAUAUCAAGAUGUAGUGCAUACCCAGCCUAAAUUGAUGUUUUCCAGUUUGAUUGAUUUUAUUUCUAUGCAAAUUACAAAUAAAUUAGAGCUUUCUCAGAGCUUCAAUCAGAAGUUCUCGCCAAUGGUUUGAUCUUUUUUUCUUUUCUUUUUAUAGGCUAUGAGGUCUUAUUGUGCUUCCAGAUUGGAACCGUUGGAAAGCUUAGACUUCCUGAUCUAGCUAACAAACGAAGCAGUCUAUUUAACA